rnacentral:rRNA from 1 species
GACGAACGCUGGCGGCGUGCUUAACACAUGCAAGUCGAACGGAAAGGCCCUGCUUUUGUGGGGUGCUCGAGUGGCGAACGGGUGAGUAACACGUGAGUAACCUGCCCUUGACUUUGGGAUAACUUCAGGAAACUGGGGCUAAUACCGGAUAGGAGCUCCCGCUGCAUGGUGGGGGUUGGAAAGUUUCGGCGGUUGGGGAUGGACUCGCGGCUUAUCAGCUUGUUGGUGGGGUAGUGGCUUACCAAGGCUUUGACGGGUAGCCGGCCUGAGAGGGUGACCGGCCACAUUGGGACUGAGAUACGGCCCAGACUCCUACGGGGGGCAGAAGUGGGGAAUAUUGCACAAUGGGCGGAAGCCUGAUGCAGAGACGCCGCGUGCGGGAUGACGGCCUUCGGGUUGUAAACCGCUUUCGCCUGUGACGAAGCGUGAGUGACGGUAAUGGGUAAAGAAGCACCGGCUAACUACGUG